rnacentral:lncRNA from 1 species
GAGCUGUAGCUGCCAAGCCUGCGCCACAGCCACAGCAACAUCAGAUCUGAGCCACGUCUGCGACCUACACCACAGCUCAUGACAAGGCUGGAUCCUUAACCCACUGAGCGAGGCCAGGGGUCAAACCCGAAACAUCAUGGUUCUUAGUUGAAUUUGUUUCCUGCUGAGCCACAACGGGAAUGCCUAGAGACAUUUUCUAUAUAUAGUCCAUAUAUCCUUAAUUCUAAAACAGUUGAUGAAAGUGGAUUUUUAAUGUUUUGAAAUUAAGUAUGUAUCUUGCAAUUAAUAUCAAAAGAAAUCUGUUUCCAGGCAGAACUAUAAAUUAAUCUGUGAUUAUCAUUGUGCACUAGUACACUCAGUGUUGUGUGGAAGGUAUCUUUUCAUCUGAUCAAUGACUCACAUGAGAGGAUUGUAACAGUGCUUAAUGUAGGUGAAUUUUAAUUCUUGACUCUCAGUCAAGAACUAUUUGGCUGAAAUAUUUUAAAGGUUACAAUUCAUGGGGGAAAAAUGUAAUUGUAAUGUAUACAUGUAAGGAUAACCUGACCCCCUUGCUGUACAGUGGGAAAAUUUAAAAAAAAUAUUAAAAAAAAAAGGUUACAAUUCAGCAAACCUAAGCUUUUUUUUUUUUUUUAAUAUGUGAGAUUGCCUAUCAUGUGCCAAGUAAUGAAUUUAAAAAACAGUAGAAAUUGUCUUAUACUUUGGACUAUAUCUGAAAGUUUCAGCUUUGGGAGAGAUUUGUGUGACCAGUUCAUGUGCUGAGAAGGUACUUACUUGAGAAUAGUACAUCUAUUAAAAGUUUCUAUAUCAGACACAACCUAGAAUAGAUUUACAAGGAGAUCCUGCUGAAUAGCAUUGAGAACUAUGUCUAGAUACCCAUGUUGUAACAGAAGAAAGGGUGGGGGAAAAAACUGUAACUGCAAUGUAUACAUCUAAGGAUAACCUGACCCCCUUGCUGUAAGUGGGAAAAUAAAAAAAAAAAAUUAUAAAAAAAAAGUUUCUAGCUAAUGUUUUCCCCUAAAAUUUAAGCACAUAUGCAAAACACUGGACUAGGUGCUAUGGGAUAUGGAAGGAUGUGGAUAGGGAGGAGAGAAAAGGAAUUUGCCGCCAGACUCAAGAAUUUGAAGUCAGACUCUAGGUCGUGUAUCUGAGAUAGAUUACACUUGAAAAGAAGCUAACAAUGCAAGGCAUUAAGCAGGUGACAAGUUAUUUGGCACUUAGAGAGGAGAAUUAUGCUGACAGAAUUUGGAGGAGCUUGGAAGACUUUAAAGAUUUAAGGUUUGAACUAGACCUUGAAGAAUGAACUGGGAUAACCAAGCUAAGAUAUAAUCUCAAAAAUCUGAAAAUCACUUAUCUUUGCCUACUCUAUUUCUUCAGGCUCUGCUGGCCCUGAGUGGAUGAAGGGCCUGAUGUAAAGGAGCACAGGGUACCUGACUUUGGUCUUGUCUCCAGGGUUUAUCACCCUGGCUGAUCUCUGCAGAGGCAGAGGCAUUAACAGCAACAUGAGAGCUUCCUGCUGUAGACUGGCCUGGUAUUGUGGGCUAUUAUUGCCUUCAGAAACUGGGUGUGCGAGCCACACUGUUAAGGUCUUGAGCAUGAAAAGACCAUGUGUUUUUUAGGAAUUUCUCCUGCCUCCUAGGACCAACAAUGUCCCGAAUUAGAAGACAGAGAUUUAUGCCCUUUGCAAUCUUGAUUGCUUAGCAAGUGCAAUUCAGGCACUUAGGGUCAGUUAAAUAUGGUGAAUUUUUCUUAACUCCAACUUUUCUCCUUCUCAGAGCUACUUUAAGUUCUCUGGCAGUGUUCCCAUAUGAGGGUGGCCGUCUGGAGAAGCGUAGGCAUGUUCCUUCCUUUAUUAUUUUUUUUGAAUUCUGGAACCAGCCGUCACUACUCCCUUCCUGCCCUCCUCUGGCCCCAGAGUUUCUGACUUCCCUCCAGAGACACUUAUUUGGAAACUUUUUGAACCAGUGGGAAAUCAGCUUAGAAGCUUUUUUUCUUUGAGACCAAUGGGAAUAUUAUGUGUCAUGGAUGGAAAGAUUUGAGUACUACCAUUAUCACAUUGAGUCUAUAUAACAAGGCUGUUUCCGUGUCUUGGCACCCAGCCUGAGUUAACUUUGCUUUGCUGGAUGUAGAGACAAUGAAUUCUGUUUGAACAAGAAAUCAUGUGCAACAAAUGCUUUUGCAAAAUCACAUCUAUUUAGCAGUUGCUUUAAUAAAGAUGUGCUUCAGCAAGUGGUUUUUGUACAACACGUGUUUAAACACUAAACAAUGCUUAACAACAUAUUUUUAAUAAACUUUUAAUUUUAUAAUAGUUUUUGACUUAUAGAAAAGUUGUAAAGAUAGUACAAAAAGUUCUCAUAUAUUCCAUACCCACUUUCUCCUGUUGUUGAUAUCUUAAAUUUGUGUGAUAGAUACACUUGCCAUAAUCAAAAAACAUUAUUAACCAAAGUCCACACUUUAUUCAGCUUUCCUUAGUUUUUACUUAAUGUUCCUUUUCUGACCCAGAAUCCCAUCUGGAUCCUAUAUUACAUGUAAUCCUCGUAUCUUCUUAGAUUUUGCUUGGCUGUGAAAUUUUCUCAGACUUAAGGAAUCCUUGUUUUUGAUGACCUUGACAGUUUUGAGAAAUACCGUAGGUCAGGUAUUUUGUAGAAUGUUCCUCAGUUGGGAUUUGUCUGAUGUAUUUCUCAUCAUACUGGGGUUAUAUGUUUUUUGGAGAACAACUAUAGAGGUUUAGUGCCAUUUUCAUUGCAUCAUACCAACGAUGUUCUGUCAAGAUGACUUAUCACUGUUGGUGUUGAUCUUGAUCACUUGGCUGAGGUAGUGUUUGUCAGGUUUCUUUACUGUAAAGCUAUUCUUUCUUCCUUCCUUCCCAUACUACAGUCUUUGGAAGGUGGUCACUAUGUGCAGCCCACAAUUGAGGAAUGAGGAGUUACGCUUUACUUCCUGAAGGAUGGAGUUUCUACAUAAAUUAUUUGGAAUUCUUCUAUACAGGAGAUUUGUCUAUUCUCCUUGUCUAUUUAUUUAUUCAGUAAUUUACCUAGAUCAGUAUAGACUCAGGGAUUUUUAUUUUAUACUUUGGGUUAUUUUUAAAUAGUAUUUUAUUCCCAGGUUUUUUCUCUAUUGAGGGCUCUUACAGUUGUCUCCUGUGUCAAAGUUUUUUAAGCCACAUCUAUGGCAUGUGGAAGUUCCCAGGCCGGGGAUCAAACCCGUACCAUAGCAGUGACCUGAGCCACAGUACUGACAAUGCCAGAUCCUUAGCCUGCUGCACCACCAGGGAACUCCUCCUAUAGCAAUUUGAUUUACACCAUCACUGUGGGGUUUGUGAUCAGUUCAUUACUUUCUGACACCACGUAUGCUCACUGCUCCAGUCCUGGUAUCAGCUCUUUCACAGGGAGUUCUGAUUACUUUUAUUGGAGAAUGUUUUAGAACACAAAGCUCUGGGAGCUAGGUGUGCUCACUGCUGCUUGAGUAUCAUUGCUUAGAGGCCCUCUCAGCUGACACAGAAAGAAAAUCAUAUAUAUAUGAACUUGUAUAUAGGUACAACUGUAAAUAUUGUUACAUUUAGCCAUCCAUAUAUUAAACUAAACUUGAAUUUAUUUUUAUGUCUCCUACUCUAAUCCAUUACCAGUGGACCAUUCUAGCCACCUCCCCUUCCCUGUCUGUAUCCUGCCACUCCAGCAUAAGAACCCCGUCUCCUGUUGUCAUCUAUUUACAUAAUUGCCCAAUUCCAGUAUACAUGUCUAGUGGCCUCAGAAUUAUGAACCUGUACUCCUAUUUGUAAUAUAGUUAGAUUCUUUUGUCACAGUCUGCAUUCCAUUCAUGGAUCCCUUAACCUCGUGCUUGGUUUUUUUUUAAACUUUGUAGGCAUUAAGGUUCAUUCUUUGUUCUCUAAAGUUAGGUUUGGACAAAUGAAUAUGAUCAUGUAGCCACCAUGACAGUAGCAUACUGAGUAGUUUUACCACUCUAAAAAAUCCCCUGGGCUUCACCUAUUCAGACCUCUUCUCACACCGAUGAAUCUUGGGUGGCUAUUGAUCUAUUUACCAUCUCUAUUUAAAUUUAACAUUUAAAAACACUUUAAAAUUAAAAAUUAUUUUUUAAAAUAGUUGGGAGUUCCUGUUGUGGCUCAGCAGGUUUAAGAACAUGACUAGUAUUCAUGAGAAUGAGGGUUUGAUCCCUGGCCUCACUCCAUGGGUUAAAGAUACAGCAUUGCCUCAACCUCUGGUGUAAGUCCUAGAAGCCUCUCAGAUCCAGUGUUGCUGUUGCUGUGACUGUGGUGUAGGCUGUCAGCUGUAGCUCCGAUUCAGCCCCUGGCCUGGAAACUUCUGUAUGCUGCGAGUGUGGCCCUAAAACCAAAAAAAAAAAAAAAAAUCAGAGCUUUUAUAAAUUGAUUGGACUUUGAUAGAUAGUGAGUACUUUUUGGAAAAAAGUACUUAAAGAUAUUAUAACUGUUAUCAGUUAUUUUACCUGAAAUGCAUGGAUCUGGGCCUGCUUCUUAAACGAUAAAACAAUUUUACCAUUUUAAUGAAGGGACAGUUCACUCAAUGUGUCUGCAGACAUUUAGAGGAAUUGGGGCACUUGAAGUAGGGGAUAGAAGGAUGAAGGAGGUAAAGGGGAUGUUUCAACAGAAAAUGAAAGAGAUUUCAGCUAAUGCAGGGGAAGUGAGGGGUAGUUGCUGUAGCUCAAAUAAGGGUGGUGUGAAUCAGUUGUGAAAUACUUGAUGUAAAGUAAUGCCUACACAACUCAGACUCCAUCAAGUUCUGGGAUCAGGUUAAGUUUUAGGAUUUUAUUUCAAUUCUGCAAACUCCUUUUUUUUAAUUUGCUUUUUAGGGCCAAACCCACGGCACAUGGAAAUUCCCAGGCUAGGGGUCAAAUUGGAGCUACAGCUGCCGGCCCACACCACAGCCACAGCAAUGCCAGAUCCGAGCCUCAUCUGUGACCUACACCACAGCUCAAGGCAAUGCCAGAUCCCCAACCCACUGAGCGAGGCCAGGGAUUGAACCCCCAUCCUCAUGGAUACUAAUCGUAUUCGUUUCCAUUGUGCCACAGUGGGAACUCCCGAUUCUGCAGACUCUUUAUUAAGUGUCUGUUUUGCUUGACUUUGCUGUGCUAUGUGCUCUGAGCAUGCCUUCUUCUGGUGCAACUGUUUGGUCAUGUACUUCCCCAAUGGAAGAGCUGGACAUUCUGCAAGAUUCAAGGGCUUCCCCUAGCUCAGAGUUCAGGGCAUUCCUCCCAGACUACAAAGGUCACUUGCUUAUCCUGGGAAGACAAAGACAUGGGUGACCCUGGUCAUACUUCAUUCCCCAUUCCCCUCUGUCAGCAUUUCCCUAGUCCCACAGUUGCUGUUGAAUAUGUAGGACCACAUUAAAUUUGUGGAAGGGAGGUGGAGAGAUCCUUUGUGUUGUAGGAGGGAAAGGACUUCUAUUCCCAUUCUCCUCAGUUGCCCUGGGUUACUUCUGCAAAAUAAGUGGAAGAUACCGGAGGGGGAAAGCAUGGGACAUAAGAAGAGAAGACAAGGUUUUAUUUAAUCUGAACAUGUACCUAGCACAUAAGUGAAGAGGAGAGGAAGUCAGACUUUUUGAGUGCUGAUUAUGUGCUGGGGUCUCUGUUGGGAAUUCUGUCAUAUUUAUUUCCCUUUUCCACCUAUGACUCUAAGAAGUAGAUUUUUUUUAAAAUCUUUAUUUCAAAGAUAAGAAACUGAGAUUCAUAGAGGCUCACUAACUUGUCUAAUUUCACACAGUGACUAUUCAAACCUAGCUCUAAAUUCCUGGCAGCAUAUUAGAAUCACCUGAGCUCUUUUUAAAGCCAUUGUUGCCUGAGCCCUGCCUCAGACCAGAUCCCAAUCUCUGAGGGUCGGGGUGAGCAUUAGCAUUUUUAAAGACCAGAGAUUACAUAUAACAUGCAGUCAGGGUUGAGAACUAUGGCUCUGCUCUGAGAGACUCUGCCCUUCUCCCUCUCUCCUAAAAGAAGGGCAGGGGUAUUUUCUGAACCAAUGUGUACUCUAAAUAUUGUCAGAGUACUUUUUUUUGCUUUUUAGGGCUGUGUCCGUGUCAUACGGAGGGUCCCAGGCUAGGGGUCAAAUCAUAGCUACAGCUGCCAGCCUGUACCACAGCCAGAGCAACGCAGGAUCCGAGCUGCCUCUUUGACCUACACCACAGCUCACAGCAACACCGGAUCCUUAACCUACUGAGCGAGGCCAGGGAUCGAACCCGCAACCUCAAGUUUCCUAGUCGGAUUUGUUUCCGCUGCGCCACAAUGGAAACCUAUCAGAGUACUUUUAGAUCCACCUCUAAGCCCCAUUUCCUACCUCUCACAGGGAUUCCUAUCAUCACUGAGUACCUGUAAGCAGGCAGAUGGAGUGGGGGCAGAGGUUGUUAUUGAUGGUAGAGAACUACAAAUAUGAUUGAUUUAAUCUGAUCCAUGGGUUGUUUGUUUAUUUAUUUAUUUAUUUAUUUUGUCUUUUUUGUUGUUGUUGUUGCUAUCUCUUGGGCCGCUUCCACGGCAUAUGGAGGUUCCCAGGCUAGG